UGCCAGCCGCCGCGGUAAGACGAAGGUGGCAAGCGUUGUUCGGAAUCACUGGGCAUAAAGAGCACGUAGGCGGGUGUGUAAGUCGGGUGUGAAAUCCCUCGGCCUAACCGAGGAACUGCGCUCGAUACUGCACACCUUGAGGGCAGGAGGGGAGCGUGGAAUUCCUGGUGGAGCGGUGAAAUGCGUUGAUAUCAGGAGGAACACCGGCGGCGAAGGCGACGCUCUGGCCUGCUUCUGACGCUGAGGUGCGAAAGCCAGGGGAGCAAACGGGAUUAGAUA
rnacentral:rRNA from 1 species